UUAUCUCUCUCUCUCUCUCUCUCUCUCUCUCUCAUAAUCCCACAAACCCAUAAUCACCAUCUUCUUCUUCCUUUUUCUUCCUUUUUCUUCUUCUUCAUCACCACCACCAUCUCACCGCCGGCAUCACUAUUUCCUCUCCGUCCGACGAAUCUUCGGCGACCACCAUUUUUUCUGGCGAAUCUCCAUUCUUUCUCUCUAUUUCUCUACUUUUUCAAGGACAUGAGUCGACGUGUAUCUGCUCGGGCCUCCAAAAAGGCCAGAGGUUCCACCUCUUCAGCGCCACCACCGCCACCGUCACCACCAUCCUCGCCACCACCACCGGGUGACUUGCCACAGUCGGAGUGGGCUUCACGCCCGUUUCACAAGCUCACGCAGUUCAAUAUUCCAUAUUUUCAGCGUGACCCGACCACCUCUUGAGCCGUUGAACAGCUCCAACUCCGGCAACAGUUGGGCCUUUGCACUGUGACAGUGCCAACUUAUCUUCGUUCGGUAUGGCUCUUCUACCAGAACCUACGUGAGUCACUCACUGAGCCCAGGCUGCUAUCCAUCAUUGAUGGCCAUCUCGUCAGCAUCACUGAAUCCAUGAUUGCUGACACAUUAGGGUUUUUUGCCAAGCUAGAAUACCAGCCCUUCCCGAAAGUCGAGGGUCAACAACCCAUACAUAGCCUCAUCCAGCAAUACUUCCCGAGGGCCCACGGUGACACCAGUUUCACAUGCUUGCGGCGGAGCAAGCUGCCUAGCCGCUUGCUAUUCAUUGAUUCCGUGGUCUAUAAGAAUGCCCUUCCAUUUGGACAUAGAGCUGAGCGCCGUUUGGAGUUUGUUCUGGUUUUACACGGUUAUUAGCAUGGCUAUCAGGUCUCGUUUGAGCAUAUCAUCUGGAUGCAUGUGCGGAAAUUUCUACGAGAGACAGUUCGGCCUCAACCUAUGCAGAAACUAACUUGGCCACUACCAUUUGCUAAUUUGUUGACACUUGUCAUUGAGCUGAACGACCUCCCCAUUGCUUCGAAUGAGGAGAUUGAUAGAGCGUAUCUGACAUUCGGCCAGCGGGAAUGGUAGCAUAGCCUAUCUUGCAUCCCGCAGCAGGUUGGUGCCCCAGUUGAUGAGGCCCAGGACCUCGUCCACAACCACUCACCUCAUCUUGUUCCCCCCGUGCCUCCCCAAGGGGACCCACUCUACAUGACUCGCGAGGAGUACUUACAGCUUCAGCACUCUGUGGAUCAGGUCCACAGUACUCUCCGUGAUCACCACCAAAGUCUCAUGGGAUUGCGCACGGAUUUUCAAACGCAUUGAGACUAUUUUCAGGCGGCCUUCGACCAACUGCACGCCUGCCGCUUGACAUCCAGCAGUCAGUUGCAUCACUGCAAACUGAUUUUUAUACUUAUCGAGAGUCGAGCCAGCAGGGCCAUGAUCAGCUCAGCCAACGAGUUCAAGAUGAAGCCUUUGAGACGCGAUCUUUGAUGUACGCCUUGUUUGCCCAGCAUUUCCCACCACCACAGCCACCGGAUUCUCCGUAGUACCUGCCUAUAUAUUACUUUAUCUCUUUUAUUUUUAGUUAUUUAUUCUUUUCAAAAAAAAAGAAAAAAAAAAUGUGAAGUGUGUGUGUGUUACUAUAUGCCUACCUGGAUGUGCACCUACAAUCUCUGGUAAUCUUCUCUCAUUUCUCUUUACUUUUCAAUUGAGGACAAUGUCAUAUUCAAGUUGGGGAUGAGGGUUGUAUUUUCUUUUGUGCAUUUUUAUUGGCUAAAUCAUUUAUGCUUAUACAUGUUUCACUUGAUUGCAUUA